rnacentral:rRNA from 1 species
AGGACGAACGCUGGCGGCGUGCUUAACACAUGCAAGUCGAGCGAGGCCCCUUCCUUCGGGAGGGGAGUCCUAGCGGCGAACGGGUGAGUAACACGUGGGCAAUCUGCCCCUAGCACUGGGAUAACUCCGGGAAACCGGGGCUAAUACCGGAUAUGACCUCUGAGGGCAUCCUCUGGAGGUGGAAAGGAUUCUGGCUAGGGAUGAGCCCGCGGCCUAUCAGCUAGUUGGUGGGGUAAUGGCCUACCAAGGCGACGACGGGUAGCC